GGAAUCCCCAUCAACCUCAUCUCUUCGUUAGUGGAAGAAACAAGUGGUGGGGUUUGCAUAGAUUCAAUAAAUAAGUUAAUUUUUUGUAUUAGGGUAGAUUGGUAGUUCAAGCUAGGUAUAGUCAAUGUUGAGCAGCCUCACAUCUGGAUCCUCUCCUACUUUCUACAGAUUAUGGGAUUAGGGUUUUCAUAGUGAAAAUGAAGGUUCUUGGCUAGUUGCUUUCAUUGCUUCCUGUUUGUGGUUGUGAGGUUGUUAGAUCUAGUGUAUGUUGUAACAAGAUGAUGGUUCGCGUUAAAGAAGUGGAGCUCCUUCAAGUCCAAUAGUGGGUCUUGCUGAGUUGGAUUGAGCUGCUAUGCUAUGGAUACCACAAUCCUAUCCUGUCCAUAUUGUCUUGGAUAUGUUUGUGGGAUGCAUAGCUCAGGAGCCUGGAUCAACUAUAGUUUGAUCCUUGUUUGGAUUGAAGGGAGCUCUACAUCUCUAUCUUCUUCUCUAUGACUUGUCUGCAACUGAAUCUGCCAAACUAAUUUUCUUUUUCCUUAUGUUUCUGUGAGUGGGUGUUGCAGGAACUCUAAGUAUAGUAGAGUUAUGAUUUUUAGCCAUUUUGGUUUGCGGAUCCAACUCUCCUUGAAGUCAUAGGGAAGAUCAAGUUUCUAGAUCAGAGGUCUGAGGGGUUUGGUACUAUUCAUGGGAACAGUGUGAGAUUAUUUUGCAAAGUCUUAAUGGCUUUUGAGAGGAAAUGAGUUCUAUAUGAGGAAAUACUGCACCAAUAUAGCUCCUUUAGUCCCAGAUCUAUGUGAUUCAUACAUCUCAUGCAUGGUAUUAAGGUUUCUCAUUGCAUCUCAGCAUCAUAUUAGGGUGAUUGUCAACUGUAGUAUGUUUUGUUUGUUAUUACUGAUUUGGUUUUGUAUUUUCACCGUUCUGGUACACACGUAUAUGCAUAUAUAGCUUGGGUAAUUUGUAUUCCGUAGUUCCAUUUAAGUCAAACGUUUUGUAAUAUGUUAAUAAAACGAAUAAUGUAGAUUUGCUUAAUGAGUUGCUUGGUCUGGUGAAGACUGCUCAAACCCUAAAAUUGUUCCACACUUUUACUUUUGAGUGUAAUUGAAUAUGUUGGGCCCCCAUGCAUUCUCAUUUCUCGUGGUGAUGAGUGUAUGGUUUUCAGACUGUGUAAUUGGAAGUGUUGAAGCUAAAUGACUUCUUUGUUGAUUCAACUUUUGUUUUGUAAGUUAAUUUCUGACUCUUGGUACAUGUUUAGGACACGGCAAAGAGGCAUAUACUAAACUAGGCGAGAAACAACUGUUGGCAUGAGCUGUGUAAGAAACAUCGAAGCUGCUAAAUGACCCACUAUUUUGGUCCCAACAUUGCCCAAGUCGAUGUGGCAAGUCCAGUCAGCAUGCCAACAAUGCAAUUUUGAAAUAUUCAAUUUGAAAUUGAGCUCAAUAAUCGGGGAGAGCAUUUAAUGUCCACAACCACUCUCUUGCAUUGGAAACGUAACCCCAAAACCUUAUUUGAUUUCUUCCAUUGCUUUGUACGAAACUUUUGCUCCCGUUUUCUUUGUCGAUUAUGUUAAUGGAGAUGAUCAUAUUGGUUUGCUUUGUAUGAAGGUGGCGCUGCAGCUAAAAAUCAUUGUAAGAAAAAGAAAUAUUUCAAGUGUGGAUUGUGGCAUCAUUGUCAUGCUCAUCAUGGAGUGCAUAUUCACCAACAAACCAAUCUCGAAGACUUUGAAAGAGGAAGAUAUUCGUUGGUUUAGGGCGCAUGUUGUUUAUUUGCUUCUCAAUGACAAAUGCCAUGUAUGAGGGUGAUAGUGCCAAGAAGUUGGGUUAGGAAGCAAACAAAGUGUAAAUGUUGUUUUUGAUACUAUGGUUGAAGUAUUAAUGCAAUGAUAUUUUGCUAG